AUUAGCAGUAAUUAUUGGCACAACAAAUGAAGAAAAAACCCUUCACCAAUAUAGUUCCUAAUCGACCCAUUAAUACUAUACUAAUGAUCUUCUAACUUCUCAAAAAAGUCUGUAUUUAGAAAGUUUUAAAACAUCCUGUGCCUCUCACAGUUGGGAGGCUGUAAACAAUCACAUGUGGCCGGUUGAGCCUGAUCAGGCAGGCCAGAGAACCUUCAGAGUUCGUAAAUUGAAACACUUGUCACGCCCAGGAAUUUUUAUUAACUUGGAGCUGCAAGUUAACUCCUCCUAGAGAAAUGGCUAUGGGGGAGAGCUCCCCGUAAAGUACUCUGAUUUGGGGGUAGAUGCUCGGAAACGGGGUUUCCUGAGGCUUGAUCACGCCUCUGUGUAUGCCAAGCUUCCUUCCUCAUGACCUUUGCCAUGGGCGGAGUUCCUCACGAUGGCUCCCAACAGUUGAGUUCAGUGGUGAACUCCAAAAUAAUUUUUUUUUUUACUCAAGACCUUUUCUAUAAAGAAAAAAUGCCGUGACUUGUCUCACAAACGGUGCUAAACUACAGUCCUCCUUACAGGAGCCAGGGCAGUCAUGUUGGUUACUUCCGAGAGUUUCAAUGUGGGAAGAAAGCCAAAGUGAACGUACGUAGUGAGCUCCCUUCUCUCUCCCAUUGUCUGCAAACAUGUUUUGGUCUUGCGGCCAGCGUUUUCGCAGCCUCUGACUCUGUUAUGAAUUUGGAGGGGAUACCGACCCCUUGUCUGCCCGUAGCAGCGGUUUUCCUUCGCCAUCGGCCGGGCUGCCUAGGGAGGGCAGACAGGAACGCAGUGUAAACCUGGCCUCCUCGUCUGUCUUGGUUUGUUUUAGCAGUGUCCGGUUUGCAUUCUUAAGAUGUCAGCAUUUGUCAAAAACCUCAUCUGCUCUGAACACUGUGCCCCUGAGGCUCCCAUUGGCCUGGGACCACAGUCCCACCUGCCUCCAAGGUGGAGGUUUCCUCAUUGACACGUUAAAUCCUCAUCUUUACUGUCAGAGGCCAAGCCAACUCUGGUUUUGCUGUCGAUCCCCUGUAGCAAGCCUGGCCACGAAGGACUGUAAAAACAAAUAACUAAAAAUAAAAACUCAGAGAAUGAAAACUCGGAA
ensembl:lncRNA